rnacentral:rRNA from 1 species
AUACAGAGGUGGCAAGCGUUGUUCGGAUUUAUUGGGCGUAAAGGGUCUGUAGGCGGCCUGAAAAGUUGGAUGUGAAAUCCCACAGCUUAACUGUGGAACUGCAUUCAAAACUUUCAGGCUCGAGUGUGAUAGGGGUAAAGGGAAUUCCCGGUGUAAGGGUGAAAUCUGCAGAGAUCGGGAGGAACACCAGUCGCGAAGGCGCUUUACUGGAUCACUACUGACGCUGAGGGACGAAAGCCAGGGGAGC